UUAUGGCUCAGGAUGAACGCUAGCUACAGGCUUAACACAUGCAAGUCGAGGGGCAGCAUUGGAGUAGCAAUACUCAGAUGGCGACCGGCGCACGGGUGAGUAACACGUAUCCAACCUGCCGCUUACUCGGGGAUAGCCUUUCGAAAGAAAGAUUAAUACCCGAUGGUAUAAAGAGUUCGCAUGUUCUCUUUAUUAAAGAAUUUCGGUAAGCGAUGGGGAUGCGUUCCAUUAGAUAGUUGGCGGGGUAACGGCCCACCAAGUCUACGAUGGAUAGGGGGUUCUGAGAGGAAGGUCCCCCACAUUGGAACUGAGACACGGUCCAAACUCCUACGGGAGGCAGCAGUGAGGAAUAUUGGUCAAUGGACGAGAGUCUGAACCAGCCAAAGUAGCGUGAAGGAUGACUGCCCUAUGGGUUGUAAACUUCUUUUAUAAGGGAAUAAAGUGAGGGACGUGUCCCUUUUUGUAUGUACCUUAUGAAUAAGGAUCGGCUAACUCCGUGCCAGCCGCCGC
rnacentral:rRNA from 1 species